CCUACGGGAGGCAGCAGUAAGGAAUCUUCCACAAUGGACGAAAGUCUGAUGGAGCAACGCCGCGUGCAGGAUGAAGGCUUUCGGGUCGUAAACUGCUUUUAUAUGGGAAGAUUAUGACGGUACCAUAUGAAUAAGGACCGGCUAACUACGUGCCAGCAGCCGCGGUAAUACGUAGGGUCCAAGCGAUAUCCGGAAUUACUGGGCGUAAAGCGUGUGUAGGUGGAUUAAUAAGUGUGAUGCGAAAUCCGGCGGCUCAACCGUUUGGACUGUGUCGCAUACUGUUAGUCUAGAGGACGGCAGAGGUAAGUGGAAUUACGGGUGUAGCAGUGAAAUGCGUAGAUAUCCGUAGGAACACCAAUGGCGAAGGCAGCUUACUGGGCCACACCUGACACUGAGACACGAAAGCGUAGGGGAGCGAACAGGAUUAGAUACCCUGGUAGUCCACGCCGUAAACCGAUGCAUACUAUUAGUAUGGGGUAUCGACCCCCUGUGCUGAGAAGCUAACGCGAUAAGUAUGCCGCCUGGGGAGUACGAGCGCAAGCUUAAAACUCAAAUGAAUUGACGG
rnacentral:rRNA from 1 species